AACGACCAUACCAUGUUGGAAACACCGGUUCUCGUCCGCACCGAAGUUAAGCAACAUUGGGUGUGGUUAGUACUUGGUACUUGGAUGGGUGACCGCUUGGGAACACCACCUGCCGUU
rnacentral:rRNA from 1 species